AUAUAUUUUAUAUAUUUUUAUAUAUUUAUUAAUAAUAAUAAUAAAAUUAUUAUUAAUAAUAAUAUAU
rnacentral:tRNA from 1 species